AUGGAUCAGCUCUAUUAUUUCCUCCUUGACCUGCUGUUUGAGGAUUUCUGCCUCCUCCCAUUCUCUUGCAACACAACAUUAUUAGCUCCUACCAUCUGCUUGUUCUGCAACCUUGCGUCGUCUCUCCGCCGGCUCCUACAACUCUCCUUCUCACUUCUCCAUCUGUGCUUUUCAUCCAUUGCUAUAUUCAUUGGUUGUUCCUACCCCCAGAAGCACUUUCAUUGCUCGUCUAUCAUUACCAUACAGGAUGCAGAUAUUGCCAUAUGGUGGUACUUUAAUGAGCAUUUAGUGGACUUUCUUGUGCCGCCUUUCCUGCACACAUGA
rnacentral:rRNA from 1 species